UGUUUGUGUGUGUAUGCGUGCGUGUGCAUGUGCAUGUUUGUGUGUGUGUGUGUGUGUGUGUACGUGUAUGUGUUCAUUUGUGUGCGCGUGUGUCCGAGUGUGUGUGUGUGUGUGCACAU
rnacentral:miRNA from 10 species